rnacentral:miRNA from 1 species
AGUUUUGCAGGUCUUGCAUCGGC